rnacentral:rRNA from 1 species
UAAGUUCUGGGCGCGUACGUGUAAUGCAAGUCGAGCGAAUGGAUUAAGAGCUUGCUCUUAUGAAGUUAGCGGCGGACGGGUGAGUAACACGUGGGUAACCUGCCCAUAAGACUGGGAUAACUCCGGGAAACCGGGGCUAAUACCGGAUAACAUUUUGAACCGCAUGGUUCGAAAUUGAAAGGCGGCUUCGGCUGUCACUUAUGGAUGGACCCGCGUCGCAUUAGCUAGUUGGUGAGGUAACGGCUCACCAAGGCAACGAUGCGUAGCCGACCUGAGAGGGUGAUCGGCCACACUGGGACUGAGACACGGCCCAAACUCCUACGGGAGGCAGCAGUAGGGAAUCUUCCGCAAUGGACGAAAGUCUGACGGAGCAACGCCGCGUGAGUGAUGAAGGCUUUCGGGUCGUAAAACUCUGUUGUUAGGGAAGAACAAGUGCUAGUUGAAUAAGCUGGCACCUUGACGGUACCUAACCAGAAAGCCACGGCUAACUACGUGCCAGCACCGCGGUAAUAUUUAGGUGGCCAGCGUUAUCCGGAAUUAUUGGGCGUAA